rnacentral:lncRNA from 12 species
CCUCCCUCUGGAAGCCAGCUAAUAAUUUCUCAUUAGCAAGAACAAGUGAAAAAGAUUGCUGUUGCACCAGAAGCCUAUUGAAUAUGAUAAUGGAGGCACCUCCUCCCUCCCCCCUCCAUGCUCAGAUUAGGGCUGGAGACCAAACCUGUGUCUUCCUGCCCCAGCCCAGGUCUGGAACAUUCCAGAAAAUGCAUAAACUCUGCAGGACCAUGGAGAAAAGAGGAACCUGUCUGUUCCUCCAAACAUCAGAAAUGUGUGGGUGAAGUGUGCUCCUCAACAGCUUCAAGCCAUUCAGAUAAUGGCCCCAUUGCUUUCCUGCCAAAUUUGAUGGGACGAGUUGGAAGGCCUCUGUUCCAUCCGGUCCCCUUUAUCGAAGGGAGCGUCCUGUCAACGUAA